rnacentral:rRNA from 1 species
GAUGAACGCUGGCGGCGUGCCUAAUACAUGCAAGUCGAGCGAACGGACGAGAAGCUUGCUUUUCUGAUGUUAGCGGCGGACGGGUGAGUAACACGUGGAUAACCUACCUAUAAGACUGGGAUAACUUCGGGAAACCGGAGCUAAUACCGGAUAAUAUUUUGAACCGCAUGGUUCAAAAGUGAAAGACGGUCUUGCUGUCACUUAUAGAUGGAUCCGCGCUGCAUUAGCUAGUUGGUAAGGUAACGGCUUACCAAGGCAACGAUGCAUAGCCGACCUGAGAGGGUGAUCGGCCACACUGGAACUGAGACACGGUCCAGACUCCUACGGGAGGCAGCAGUAGGGAAUCUUCCGCAAUGGGCGAAAGCCUGACGGAGCAACGCCGCGUGAGUGAUGAAGGUCUUCGUAUCGUAAAACUCUGUUAUUAGGGAAGAACAUAUGUGUAAGUAACUGUGCACAUCUUGACGGUACCUAAUCAGAAAGCCACGGCUAACUACGU